rnacentral:rRNA from 1 species
UACAGAGGUGGCAAGCGUUGUUCGGAAUUACUGGGCGUAAAGGGCGCGUAGGCGGUUCGUUAAGUCCUGGGUGAAAUCCCCCGGCUCAACUGGGGAACUGCACAGGAAACUAGCGGGCUUGAGUUCGGGAGAGGGAAGCGGAAUUCCGGGUGUAGCGGUGAAAUGCGUAGAUAUCCGGAGGAACACCGGUGGCGAAGGCGGCUUCCUGGACCGACACUGACGCUGAGGCGCGAAAGCUAGGGGAGCAAACGGG